UACAGAGGCCCCAAGCAUUAUCCGGAAUCACUGGGCGUAAAGGGUGCGUAGGCGGUUCCGCAAGUCCUGUGUGAAAUCUUCGGGCUCAACUCGAAGUCUGCACGGGAAACUGCGGGGCUUGAGUGUGGGAGAGGUGAGUGGAAUUCCCGGCGUAGCGGUGAAAUGCGUAGAUAUCGGGAGGAACACCUGUGGCGAAAGCGGCUCACUGGACCAUAACUGACGCUGAUGCACGAAAGCUGGGGGAGCAAACAGG
rnacentral:rRNA from 1 species